AGUGAACGCUGGCGGUAGGCCUAACACAUGCAAGUCGAACGGCAGCACAGGAGAGCUUGCUCUCUAGGUGGCGAGUGGCGGACGGGUGAGGGAUACAUCGGAAUCUGCCCAGUCGUGGGGGAUAACGUAGGGAAACUUACGCUAAUACCGCAUACGACCUUCGGGUGAAAGAGGGGGAUCGCAAGACCUCUCGCGAUUGGAUGAGCCGAUGUCGGAUUAGCUAGUUAGCGGGGUAAUGGCCCACCAAGGCGACGAUCCGUAGCUGGUCUGAGAGGAUGAUCAGCCACACUGGAACUGAGACACGGUCCAGACUCCUACGGGAGGCAGCAGUGGGGAAUAUUGGACAAUGGGCGCAAGCCUGAUCCAGCCAUACCGCGUGGGUGAAGAAGGCCUUCGGGUUGUAAAGCCCUUUUGUUGGGAAAGAAAUCUUUCAGGCUAAUACCCUGGGAGGAUGACGGUACCCAAAGAAUAAGCACCGGCUAACUUCGUG
rnacentral:rRNA from 1 species